GAAUAUGAAGCGAUUUAUUGCAAUUAGUUUCGACCUAAUCUUAGAUGCCUACAUCCUUAUUCU
rnacentral:tRNA from 1 species